AGACAGUUAGUUUAAGAAAAAUAUUUGAUUUCGGCUCAAAAGCUUAUGGUUAAAGUCCAUAAUUGUCUA
rnacentral:tRNA from 1 species